CUUGACUGCGAGCGUGACGGCGCGAGCAGGUGCGAAAGCAGGUCAUAGUGAUCCGGUGGUUCUGAAUGGAAGGGCCAUCGCUCAACGGAUAAAAGGUACUCCGGGGAUAACAGGCUGAUACCGCCCAAGAGUUCAUAUCGACGGCGGUGUUUGGCACCUCGAUGUCGGCUCAUCACAUCCUGGGGCUGAAGUAGGUCCCAAGGGUAUGGCUGUUCGCCAUUUAAAGUGGUACGCGAGCUGGGUUUAGAACGUCGUGAGACAGUUCGGUCCCUAUCUGCCGUGGGCGCUGGAGAACUGAGGGGGGCUGCUCCUAGUACGAGAGGACCGGAGUGGACGCAUCACUGGUGUUCGGGUUGUCAUGCCAAUGGCACUGCCCGGUAGCUAAAUGCGGAAGAGAUAAGUGCUGAAAGCAUCUAAGCACGAAACUUGCCCCGAGAUG
rnacentral:rRNA from 1 species